rnacentral:rRNA from 1 species
AACGAACGCUGGCGGCAUGCCUAACACAUGCAAGUCGAACGAGAUCUUCGGGUCUAGUGGCGCACGGGUGCGUAACGCGUGGGAAUCUGCCCUUUGGUUCGGAAUAACAGUUGGAAGCGACUGCUAAUACCGGAUGAUGACGAAAGUCCAAAGAUUUAUCGCCCGAGGAUGAGCCCGCGUAGGAUAAGCUAGUUGGUGUGGUAAAGGCGCACCAAGGCGACGAUCCUUAGCUGGUCUGAGAGGAUGAUCAGCCACACUGGGACUGAGACACGGACCAGACUCCUACGGGAGGCAGCCGUGGGGAAGAUUGGACAAUGGGCGAAAGCCUGAACCAGCAAUGCCGCGUGAGUGAUGAAGGCCUUAGGGUUGUAAAGCUCUUUUACCCGGGAUGAUAAUGACAGGACCGGGAGAAUAAGCUCCGGCUAACUCCGUGCCAGCCGCCGCGGUAA